rnacentral:lncRNA from 10 species
GCCGGGCGGUGCAGAGGGGCGGGGCCGCGGGGCCUGGAAGCAGCCUCCGGGAUCUGCAAGUCUGGAAAGGCCACGUUGUGGACCUUGGCGCAGAGGUUAUGGGGGCGACCCGGAGCGGAUGGUUUCAGGAAAACUAGAACCCACCCUCAUGGCCUGAACAACUGGAGAGAAGAGGAUCGCAGCAAUUUAAAGCCAGCGGCAAGGAUCACAGUCCUGGGGUCAGGUGACCAAAGCCAGUUUUUCAGCCCUUAACAAGAACCUGGCUUCACCCAGCCAAACAUGAGUUAACGUAUCCAUUUUACACACGAACAAACUGAGGCGCAGAGAUGAUCACAGCUUGUUGGUGGCAAACUCCGCUAGGGCCUUCUCUGCUACCCUAAGGAGGUCCGACCCUCCCCUCAAUGGGAAGUAGAAUCUCUUUCUCCACCUCUUCAAUAUGGCUGGCCCUGGAACUUCCCUUGGCACACAGAAUGCAGCAGAAUUGGCUUCAUGUUGUUUCUAAGCCUUGGCCUCAGAGGCCUUGCAUGCUUCCUAACCCUGGCUCUAGGAAACUUGCUGCUGUCAUGUAAGCAAGCCCAGGCUAACCUACUGAAUGUUGGUGUGUCCCAGUCAAAUCCAGCACUGCAACCAAUAGCCAGGCAGCCACCAGACAUGUGAGUGGGGCCACCUCACACCAGCCAACCUCCACCAAGUCAUCAGAUGUAUGAGUGAGAACAGCCCAGAACAACUGAGCCCGUCCAGACCAGCGGAACAACCAAGCUGACCAGUAGACUUAGGAGCAGUAAACAGAUGAUUGUUAUGGAAGCCAUUCUGUUUAGGGUGUGUGUGUUAUUGCUUGCAUCCAAAUACAUCCUAUCUCAUCUAAUGAGAAAAGGCCCUGCUCAAGGGCUUUUGCAGCUGUAGUUGGGCGCCGGAAGUGUCUUUGUGGUCAUUUCUUACUCCAUACACGGGGAGAUCAAGGCUCAGACCAGGUAGUGUGACUGUGGACAACACUUUCCUUACCCCUCUGUGACACUUAAAUCAAUGAAGCAGAUUCACAGAAGCAUGCAUGCUCACUGAACACAGUAUUUGCAUUCCUACCUCCAAACCUUUGCUCCACCCAUGCAUCCAGUAAGAAUGCCUACUUCCCUCCUCUCCUCCAUCGAGUUCUUUCUUUGAGUUCUACCUUCCCUAGUCUUCCUCCACUGCACCAACCCACGGUGAUCCCUGUCUCUUCCAAAUGCUUUGUAACAUGGUAGGCAUCACUCACUUGUGACUCAUUGGACCAUUUUAAAACUUGGUUUUCUGUGUCUCUUUUCCAACAAAAUUACAAAUUCUUUGAGGGUAAAAGUCAGGCCUAAUAGUUCUCUGUACUCCUAGUAGUGCCAGUGUGGUAAAAAUUUAACUUGACAAUUAGCAAAACCAAUAAAUUCCUUACACUAUUCUGUUCCUGUAGGUAAUCAGUAUAUGAAUAUGGAUUCCUAUGUGAUGAUUUUCUGGUCUAUUUUGUCCCUUUUUUUUUUUUGUUACUUUAACCAGGCCAUAACAUAAAGGUUAUGCCAUUUGUUACUGUCAAGCUUAAUUAAGCCCAUUAUAAUUCGUUAACCCCUGUGCUUGCUUUGUAAUUAACAUUGAUUAACACAAACAAGUACAAAAUAGGCCAUCAGCACUUUCCAGAAGUGCUGAUUACAAUUACAUUGGUAAUUCAAUACGGUAUAGAAGAUGGCAGGAUAGUAACUUGCACUCUGUUUACAUAAGGAGACAAAUGCUACCAUGCAAAACUAAGCCAAGAAACAAAAUACUUUCCUCAUCCAACUCACUGAUUAAACCCUUACCCUGUUAACUCACCCUAUGACUGUGUAAACCUCCAGUAAGAUUAUUGAAGGCACAGCUCCAAGUAACUUGCUUAAUUGCAUUCCUGGGACAAAAGAGGGAAGCGCUUCAAAGCUGACAGACAGAUGGUAGAGUGUCCAGUCACAGCAAAGCAGGCCCCGAGGCUCAUGACAGACAACUCCAGGGCUGAGAUCUCAUUUGUAGCUCUGGGAUAAAGUCCAGGGUUUGAUGGCAGCAGGCUGAAGUGUAAAGAUGCUCAACAAUGCGCACCCCAGAGACACUGAAUCUGAAAAAGCUUAGAGUGAAUAAAAAUCUGGAAAUGAACUCUGUCUGUCUAUUCACCAUUCCCCCCAUAAAAAAAUUCCUAUAUUCCGGAUGGUGUUCAAGUUCCCUUUCCACAGGACCUCAGCAGUCAGGGAGGUGCUCCUGCAAUCUAUGUGAAGGAGAUUUCACCAUGCCCACAUGGGAAUACAGUAGAUUGCCAGUAGGGAUGCCACACCUUUGCAUUUCCUCGUAUUUCCAGGAACAAAGCUGGGGUGCCUAGGAGCUGCAGCAGUUUUUCUUCUGUGUAAAAUAAGCAAGCAGGACUCUGCCCCACUGCACUCCAGGGAAGGAUUAAGAGAAUUGAUAUCAUCCAAAUCAAUUGGCCCUGUGCAGAUGACUUGAUAAUGAGGCCAUUGAGUUUUUAUGGUUCACUAUUAUUGCUACAAAAAUUAUGCUGCAGAAAUCAUUCAAAUGCUCAAAAAGGAGCAUUAGUACGAAACUGGGUGUUCCAAAGUUGUUGCUGAGAGGUGUGUAAUGUUCCUGAAGAUCCCCAAGGCACUAAGACUUCUCUGUACAUGAAUGACUCAUAGAGAAGAAAUACACCAGAUGAAAAUAUAUGGAGAAGUUUGCCGAAUGUCAUAUAACUU